rnacentral:lncRNA from 1 species
UUCCCUGCUAUGUUUUGUCACACAUCAUUGCUGGGAGAGUUCAGUGCUAUCCAAGUGACUCCCCCGGGAGAGGACAACUGGAAAUUUAUGCCUGGUGUCUUCCUGGACUCCGACCUAUGCACCUUUUUCCUUGGAUGAUUUUAACCUGUCUCCUUUUGCUGCAAUGAACCAUAACCAUGAGUAUAUCAGCUUUUCUAAUUUUUGUGAGUCCCUCAAGUGAAUUAUCAAACCUAAGGUAGUUUUGGGACCCCCAUCACAGAGAGUCAAACAGGGGCAGGGCAAGAAGAGCUGCUUUUCCUGGAAGGCUAAUGAGUCUGAACUUCGCCCUGGAGGUAAUCGUUAUAGUAACUCCAGGCUCUAACCUGGAGCUGACAUGAUAAGGUCAAAUGUACACCUCUAGAAGACUUCCGACUGCAGAGGGGAAUGGAUGGGGGAGCUGAGGGAGGAGAGCUGAAGCAGGAAGACCAUGGCCUGGAAAGAGAUGGCUGAACCAGUCCAGCCAUCCCCUUAGCCCUCUGCCCACAGUGAUCACUAACUGAUUGCUCCUCCUUAAAAGCCACCGAAAAGUGUGCUUGGCUGAUCUCCCUGACCUCAAUUUCUCUGCUGGCAGAAUCACAAGAAAGGCAUCAGCACCUUCUGUGAAAUGGGGAGCCAUGCAGAGGAGGUGCCCAGGUGGCGAGGAGUCCAUGUCAGCUGCCGUCAUCCACACCACAGAUCAGACAUGGCAAAGAGUGGCCAGGCCUUCUGAGUGAAGGUGAUCCAACCUGUCACCAAGCCUAAGGGCAAAUCCUGGCUGUGCUGUGAUGGCUCCAACAACCCCAAACAGCAGCGCAGAGGCUGCAGCCGCCCUCGGAGGCAACACUGGGAAACGCUCAUUAGCAGCCUUCCAUUGCUCACCCGCCCCAUCCCACCUCUGUGCAUCCCAGAUCAUCAGCGAAGUGCACAGCUGGCUUCCAUCCUCGGAGCCUUCCUCCUUCAUUUGCCUAUUCAACAGUUACAAAGGCCUGAGUUGCAAAGGGGCUUACAACCCAUUCCACCCAGAAGAAAGAGAACUGAGACUGAGCAAGACAGAGAAUAGGUGGAAGGGGAGAUGAAACCAAGCAAUCUCUAGAUCCCAAAUGGGGACCCUGAUGUAGCAAGAGCCUCUUUUAAAUCCUUUUCCAAUAGGGUAAUAUGGAAAAUAGUUGAAAGCACAAGCCAAGUGGGGCUGGAAUCCCAAAUGGGCCAUUUACUAGCUGUGUGACUGGACAAGUAAUUUCAUAUUUCUGGGCCUCGAUUUUUCUCAUCUGUAAAA